rnacentral:rRNA from 1 species
GACGAACGCUGGCGGCGUGCUUAACACAUGCAAGUCGAACGGAAAGGCCUCUUUCGGGGGGUACUCGAGUUGCGAACGGGCGAGUAACACGCGCGUAACCUGCCCUCCACUUUGGGAUAACUUCAGGAAACUGGGGCUAAUACCGGCCAGGAGCUCCUGCUGCACGCUGGGGGUUGGAAAGUUUCGGCGGUUGGGGAUGGACUCGCGGGUUAUCAGCGUGUCGUUGGCGUGAUGGCUUACCAAGGCUUUGCCGGGUAGCCGGCCUGAGAGAGUGACACGCCACACUGGGACUGAGAGACGGCACAGGCUCGUACGGGAGGCAACAGGGGGGAAUACUGCACAAUGGGUGGAAGCCUGAUGCAGCAAGGCUGCGUGCGGGAUGACGGCCUUCGGGUUGUAGACCGUAUUCGCACAUGACGAAGCUUUGUGUGACGGUAGUGGGUAAAGAAGCACCGGCUAACUACGUG